rnacentral:lncRNA from 1 species
GCGAAAAAAGCCGUGUCGAAAACGAGGCCGUGUACUUUGACCAAGAGGCUGGUCAGGUCCCCGCUUCCCUUGGCACGCACGCCUAUAUUUUGCCGAGGAUCAUGAAAUGAUGAAACAGGCACGGACUGGCGAGACGCAGCCGGACACACGGGACACCCGUGUGCUUGCGUCCACAUACACAGCUGGUUUUUCCAACCCUGUUUCUGUGUACGGUCGCUCUUCGUGUGUUGGCCCAUGAAGCUGGCGUGCGUCGAUCCCCAAAUGCAUUUGUGAUCUACCUCAGGGAACCCCGGAGACGGUCGUCCAUAUUACACAGAACACGUGCCAAGGGUAGGGCGAGAGAACGUGAUCUGUUUUGGCGACGCGUCAGCGUACGACUGUCGCCCCGGUGAAACAGAACGCCUUGGUUUCUUCUGUCUGAACCUACCGGCGCUGUUCAGGGCAACUAUGCUCGUUUCUUCAAGACCAAGGACAGGAAGGAAGAAAGCACAGAAGGAAAAGACACGCCACACUCCACCGCGCGUUUCCCUUACCUCCGUACGCCGCAAAACCGCAUCGACACACGCUCUUCCCACGGUCGGUCGCCGAAGGCUCCGACCAGCUGCAAGCGACACAUCAAAGCGUGCGCGGGUCGAAUGCGUGUCCAGUGUGAAGCACUUUUUCCUUACUGAUUUCAGUCCGAUCUCUCGUGUGCGCAUCGCUGCGUAUCCCUCUCUCCGGAGGAAGACCUCUGCGUGUUGAAAGCUGUCGCAAUGCAGGUGCACAGCGAGUGUCUCGAGACGAGUCAAGGGGUGUGUACCGAUGCCUCUUUUCCGCGUUCGCGUAUUCGUUGUUUGCUAGCUAUUCUGCAUGCAAAACCCAAAAGCCCAGGUGUCUCGCCUGUGGACCUCCGAGUUGCGUUUCCUGUCUAGGUCGAUGCGAAUGCUUCGGCGACGCCUUCCCCUGUCGCCGUCCAGGCGUCUUGCCCAACGAAGUGCAUCCCUUAAAAUUUGGAGUUUGCAGCCUUCGACAGGGCUGGCACCCCAAACCGUAAAACGGGGAUCGCUCAAGCCCGUUCGGGGAAAAGAUUCGAAAUGCACGGGGAAGACGAAGGAGAAGCUGGCAGUCGAAACCAGACGUGUGUGCUCACCUCGACGUUCCGCACGCCCUGUCGGCCGCCGCGGGGGCCCUCGCUACAGGCGUCGCGUUCUCCGUUCACCUGCGCGAUGUCCUCCUCACGGAGGGUCAAGACAAGGCAGUGCAUUUCUUCUCGGAGAAUGCCUCGAAGACGGGAACCUGAAACACACCACCCACAACGGAACCGCGACAGCGCGCCAAAGCAUCCGGAAAGGCUCAGACCGCGUCUGAUACGGGGAGCGGGGUUAAGCAGAAAUAAGUAAAGGCGUAGGGGUGCGCGAGGCGCGUGCAGAGGCUCAAGCUUUUUCCUCUCCGAGAAAAACACAGACUGCUUCAGAGCCUCAGGAACACCUCACCAGGCAAACCGUGUUCAUGGACCCGCGUGUGACGCCUGUGACGCGUUUUACCUCGGUAGAUACGCUGGACUUCGACAGCGGCCAGGCUGCGAAUUUGUCGAAUGCACCGGACCUAGGAAGACGCAGAGGUAUGAUCGAGGUGGAACGAUUAGACUUUUCUCUGAAGAAAGCUGAAUUCGAAGGCGUCAACUUCGACAUGGCAUGCGCCGCUGCGGCUUGACAGCAAAGGGGGAGGAGGGACAAAGCAUCAGUGCCAUCAGGAGAGACCAGGGCGUCAUCUUUGUGGGCCUUUCACAGCAUGGCCCUCACCCGCAGUCUGCAGAGACACGUGGUCAAACGGCCUGGAGCCUGCGUCACGUUUCUACGCGCAAACGACGGUCCCGGGACAAACACACGGGAACUUGGAGCGACAGGAAGACGAGGCUCAAUUUAUCUAGAGAGCGGAGAUGUGUCGUUUGUGGGGGGCGGAGGCGCUUGCGCGCGGGCUCCUCUCCGAAAACAUAACAUGCUUGUAGAAAGGCACUGGGCGACGCGCUUGAAAUGGAGCGUUCGGCGGAGGGAGAAGCAAGCAUGAGCGGCGAAGCCGUUCGCCGAUUCUUCCUCAGCUUACCAGAGCCUCAAACUCCAGCGCCGCCGACAUGAAAUGCUCUCGCCAGCGCCGCUGCAGCGUCUUCUGUAACCCAGCUCGACAAAAAAAGACGUUCCAAACGAGCGCGUGGACAGGGGGCAAAACGACAAGAGAAACUGUGAAGUAUGCAGAGAUACGGAGGGAAGAUGAACGACAGCAAAAGAAGAGACAAACACGAGAAAUCUGGGAAGAACAGGGAGACGAAAAGGCAGAGACUCAGGGGUCCCGGCAGCGAGGAAGAAGGCGAACGGGAGCGACGAAAGCGAGAAAAUCGCCGUUUCCCGCUGAGGGUUUGUGAAGAGUGGCAGCGAAGGAAGACGACACGACAGAGCGAAGAUACACCAGAAAAAAAGGAGGCGACAGAGGCGCACACCAGAGCCGAAGGCGGAAAAGAAACACCUCAUUGAAGGCAUGACAGGAAAGCCACAGACGGGAAAAGAGACAAGGCAGCCAUGCAGAAGAUAAGCGAGCCCGGGGUACAGCGCGACAGAAACACGAGGAUCUACAGAUAGCUUCGUGUCGUGAAAAAGGAUGUAUCCACGGCUUCCAGGAGGCACUGUCUUUCGUGGAUUUGAGUCCAUGCUUCCAUGAGUCACGGAGCGAGAACAUUCAGAAAAAAAAGCGUACCGCUGCAAUUUCAGGAUGACGAAUGCGCGCUUGGCAAACCUUCGGACUCGCACAUUCCGUGUUCGAUAAUUGGAAUCGCCUUCGCGCUCCGGUGUGAUGCUGGUCUUCGCUUUUGGGUUUCAGCUCGUUCUCACGAACUCUGCACUCCAGGGUAUCCUCUGUAGCUUUGUCGCUUUGUUCGACUUGUUUUUCCUCGUCCGUCUCUUCCAUACUCGGCUCCGUCACGUCCCUUUCACCUGGCGAUGUCGUCUCAGUAGCUUCUCUGUCUCCCAAGUCGUCCCAGAAGUCACCAGAGUCUGGACUCGAGGCCGGAGAGGUUGUGCGUCGCCAGCAAGCGGAUACAGAAAGUUCUGUUCCGCCCUUCGUUUCCGACUCGCACUCUCGGUCUUCUCCGAAACUACAAAGCCCCUCGUUUGACGCGUUCUGUCUCUCCUCACAAAAUAACCCGUAGUCGUGUUGGGCGCGAUUUUCUUGUUCAAUUUCCUCUUCUAUUUUGCGUCCAGUAUCUACCAGAGCUGGACCGAACACUGAACUCGACAGAGAGUUGCCGCAUCCAUAAGACGCAUCGGCCCUCAGACAAGACCUCUCGACGACUGCACACAUCUCAGCCGUCAGCGUUUUGGUGUUCUCUGUGCAUGUGGCCGAUGACUCAAGGAUUGUUGGCGGCAAACACCUUUCAGAGGGUUGGUCCACGUUUUCCGUCCGGAAAGCGGUACCUGAUUGCCGGAAGGCUGCGCCUUCCGCAGCAGUGCUUCCCGAAUCUGCCAUAACCUCCGCAAAGCGAAAGCCAUCCUUGGAGGCUGAAGACGCCUCGCGAAAGAUGGCGACUGUUUCGAACAGUUUGUUGUCCCUCUUUGCUUCUUCUCCGUAUCGCUUCGUGGCGUCCAGGUAACCGGGGAAAGCACUCGGUUCCAGGGAACAAAGACAGGAGAGUGUCUCUCCCGGCGCGUCUGUGCCUUUCGUUUCCGUAGGCCUCUCGCUUGGUACAGCAGCUUCUCUGCGUCUGCUCACUUCGACUGAGGGCCUGAACGGCCUUUGCAUGACGACACUCUCUCCCAUCACGAUCUCCUGCUUCAGAGAGACAUGACCGCUCUUUGCGACUCCGCUGCGUUCAUAUCGACGAACCGAAGAGGACUCCAAAGCAUCGAGCCCCGUGUUCCAGGCCAUGCUGCCGCUAUACGAAAGAGAGGACGACAUUUCCUUUCUUUUCGUUUUGCCGAAUUUAGGCCUGUCCACAGGCUGCCAGCCCCCACGCCCCAGGGGGCUGAGCGUUUCUGGCCGCAGGAUGUGCCCCGAGCGGGUUGCUCCUGUUUGAACUGUCGCUGCUGAGGCACAGUUUUCUGCAGGAGCGAACUCACAACGACCGGGAGUUUCAUGAACCUGCACAGGAGCAGUGGAUACUAAGGCCGCGCAGGUGGUCUGCGGCGCCUGAGGAAUGCGGAUCCGGCAGCCGGCGGAUUCAGACAAAGACGGAGACGAAGCAAAAUCGGCAGCUUUGACGGCAGCGGCACCAGAACUGCGGAGAGAGGUGUGAGACGCGGUACAGGCCUUCAGCUCGCAGCGUCGAGACGAGGGUGACGGACUUAACAGCGCUUCUGAGGACGAUAAAGGAACUGCCGGAGCGUGUGUUGGACGCGUCGCGCACGUUGGAGUGACCAGGGGGACGGGACCGACGCUUUGAACGGCAGAUGGCUGGAACGACUCUGGAGUGGUUUCCACGGGGAUGGAAGAGCAAGUCGAUGGCGACGGCAAACACGAGAGGCCCCGAUCUCUAGGCGAAGGGGUUUUCAACUGCAUAACCCCUGGAGGAAACGCGAACGUAUCGAAGUCGAGCGACGCAGCUGACCAGUCUUCGCAUUGUUCCUCUUCAUGUUUGUUCGAGGGGGACAGGAGCAAGGGUAGCCAGCAACGAGGCUGCCGAAGCGGCGAAGACUGGAGAGCGGCGCGGCCAGGUGUAGAAGAAGAGAGAGCUGACGCAAGGGUGUCCGACCGGAGCGAGGCAUCACUGGUAGAGAGAGACGGCAGAGGUCGCGCAUGCUCCGAACACGACGAUGGAAAGGACCGCCAAGCCGGCGCGUCUGUGUCUGCUUUCGGCGUGCCUUGUGUCGCGAACGGCAAACCUGAAGGGAGUUGAAAGGCGGCUGUCGGCAACGAGUAAGCGUGGGAAGGAGGCGAAGCUGAAAUGCCGCAGCAACCUCUUCGAGAAGGAGGAAAAGGGAACCCCGAAGGGGUGAGAGAUCCAAAGACUUGACUAGGGCGUCGAAUGGCAAGAGGCGUGUGCGUUGCCGAGAAAUCGGCCGAUGAGACGGACCUGUGCCUCAUCGUGAGACAGGAGAGCCAGAGUCCAGGCAAUCACCUCUGACUGUCACUCGGCCUUGACGCAUAUUGUUAACAAAGAAACGCCGAAUGCUGCAAGGGGAUACACGCAGUGGAGAUCGACGUCUUCACACCAGAACUGCUCGGUGUUCACGUGGCGUCACUGUGUGUACCACUGCAGAAAGCCCCAUGUUGUCAACGAGAGAGGAAGCCCUAAACGCCUCAGGUCAAGAUGUGGCAUCCAACUCCGUGACAAACCUUUCUAGGAGGGUUUAGACUGAAACAGGCAGUUCCCUGUAGGUUGGAGUUUCGCAAGAAUGGACUCGGGCGGAAACACAGAGACUUCUGUCAUACAACGGCUGCGCCGGCGUGCCUGGGCGACGGCCUUGCCGCAAAGAGAGUGCGGAUACGCUAAAUGUCUGAUGGUAAAGCCCUUGAACCUCCUGAUGCGUGGAGGCAUGGAGAGUCAAGGCAUGCCUAUGUCGGAAUAGCGAGGUCUCACUCAACGAUGACUCCCAAAUUGAAAUGACAGGCGGCAAAAUCUGACCGGCCUUCUCCUGUCUACCGGAAGCAUGCCUCGAAGUGCCCAAGUCGUCGGCACACCUGAGGCAGGAGAGCUUGGCAGCUUCCCGACACCCUGACGGUUUGGCGCUCAGAGGGGAAGGACCGCCGGUAGAGUAUGCUCGUGAAGGCACGGAGUCGACGAGGAAGUCGCGGUUGACCCGCACACUAACAUUCCGUUUCCCACUCUGGCGUGGGCGCGCACAGCUCAGCGCAUAUCACUCCCAAAGUGUUCCUUUAGAGGCCGCUCGUGGACCCGGACUGAACUAGUAAACAAGUACGUUUGAGGUCGCGGGAGAAAGAAGGCGAGUCGAUUACAGCCGCCAAAACUCUACGACAGAAAAUGGAAUCACGACGGCACCGCGGGGCAACGGUCUGCGAUAGUGGAAACUCCAGUUUUUGUUCUAUGGUACAAUUGCGUUUGCCCGUGCAGAACUCUGGCAUGCUGUGGGGGGCGCUGGAGCCAGAGCCGGGGCGAUGGAAAGGAGACAGCCCUGGAUUGUCCUGGCAGCUCGCCAGAGGGUCGGAUCGAGGGCGCACGGCUACGCGCUCGCUUCAACGCACGUGCACUCUUCUAGAGGGAGAUGUCUCCACGGUGCGAAACCCCGGAAGUCACGCCGAUGUUUCCCUUCAGCGGGUCCAGCGGGCCUGCCAUCUUGGCUGUCUAGUACGGCAAACGGCAACAGCCAUAGCGAACCAAAGAAAGGCUCUAGGCUGUAGGACGAAGUCGCGAUAACGACAUCGGAAUUCCGUGUUCAGGAAGACACCGUCAACGGUCACAACCUCAACGUGAGCUGGUGUCGCGGCACAGUUUCGUCACGCCGUCCUCCUUGCGAAAGGGAGCGGCGGGGAGGCCAGAGAGAAGCAACUUUCCAAUAACUGAUACAAGUUCUGGGGUCAGAAAGUCAUGCACACUGGUUACGAACGGUGGAGACACGCGACAGAGGCUUAAGAUCGCCUUGAACAAUGAGUGGUGCGAAGGGGUAGCGACUACACGCUUUGUUCUUUCCCAAGGCGGAGACAGUACUUUGAGAAAGCGAAGCCGCGACUCUAGUGGCUCUCAAGAACGGUAACAGCACCGACCAUGGAGUGGGCUAAGAAGUGGAACAGGCUGUCUUGGCAAAAAGCGACCGUGAAAGGAGAGUCGGAAAAUAAGAAUACCGUAGGUCCGGGACCACAGCAGCCAGCUUCAACUGAAUCGGGCAAAAAGUAGACGAAGAGUAGAGAACGGAAUGGCCUUUCCAGUGGCUCGGCGUGGAGCCUGGUGUCUGGUCCACAGAAGAGCACUCCAAGGAAAAGGCAACAACCCGGAAUGACAUUUGGCUGUUUUGUUGCUUUUCUAAUCGUAUAGUCAAGCUACAUGACACAACCGGUUACUUCAACUCUGACGCCCGUUGUUCCCCGUAAUCUUUGAACCUGCA